rnacentral:rRNA from 1 species
UACGGGGGGGGGCAAGCGUUGUCCGGAUUUACUGGGCGUAAAGAGCUCGUAGGUGGUUUGUCGCGUUGUUCGUGAAAUCUCACGGCUUAACUGUGAGCGUGCGGGCGAUACGGGCAGACUGGAGUACUGCAGGGGAGACUGGAAUUCCUGGUGUAGCGGUGGAAUGCGCAGAUAUCGGGAGGAACACCAAUGGCGAAGGCAGCUUGCUGGGACGGUACUGACGCUGAGGCGCGAAAGCGUGGGGAGCAAACAGG